rnacentral:rRNA from 1 species
AUGGUCAUCCGUGAUGUAUUCAUCGAGGACGAGCCGGGGACAGAGACGAUAGGACCGGCUGCAAAAUCACUGAUGAAGAGAAGUCCGAGCAUUGACCGGAUGGAAGGGGUGGGGGAGGGAUCCUUGGCAUCUAAAAAGGAAGUGGGGAAGGGUGCCCGCCACCUGUUCGACGGAAUGCUCGAGAUGGCUGCGGCGAGUGACAGUGACCCUUUUGGAGACCUCCCUGACGAGCUUCUAUGGCGUGUGCUGUCCUUCCUGUCGGUGGAGGAUGCCCUGCAGACCUGUGUGCUCAACACCCGAUGGCGCGAUCUCUGGAGGCGCUUGACCAGUUUGUUGUUCGUCUUUAAUGGGCCAACAUUUCCGCGAUACAACCGUUUCAAACAGUUGGUGAAGCUGGUCAUCUGUCUCCGUGGGGACUCGCCUCUCAUCAGGUGCGAGAUCGAUGCCUGUCCUGACGAUGAGCCUGAGAACACGUUCACAAACACCAGGCUGUUGAUUGACUACGCUCUGGCAUGCAAAGCUGAGGAACUCGUAGUAAGAGCAGCUCACAUUCAGUACGCCCUACCAGUGUUUGAUGUGCCUCUGAGUCUCAUUUCCCAACACUUGAAGACCCUGCACCUUGAAGGGGUCAACCUCAACCACUCUGCUUUGAAGUUCUCAGGCUGCCUGGUGUUAGAGGAUCUAAGGAUUCAACUUUGCAACAUUCGUGCAUGUGAGAUAUCAUCCAUGUCACUAAAGCGCCUGUGCAUAGCCGACUACUGUUCUCUACCUGACAUUGUGCGCCUUCGGAUUUGUGCCCCGGGUCUUAUCUCACUUCAGCUAGAGGAUUUUGAAGGCCUGACACCUUUCCUUGAAAACAUGCCAUUGCUAGAAACAGCCCAUGUUAACCUUGAAGAUGGAUGCCAUGAUCACUGUCGCAGUAAUCAGGGGGUUUGUGAUAAUAUUGUCUGUGGUUGUCAUGCUUAUCCUGUCAAGGAGGGGGUGCUUCUCAAUGGUUUGUCCAAUGCUGCCAAGUUGGACUUGAUAGCUUUACCUAAAAUGUUUCUGUACAGAUGGGAUUUGAAAUGGUGCCCCGUCUUUGGCAAAUUAAAGACUCUGUUACUCAAUGAGUGGUUUACAACUGUUGACCUUGUUUGCAUUCUCCGACACUCUCCAGUUCUUGAGAUACUCACUCUUCAGCUUGAUAACACCGAGAAUAUUGUAGGAGCAACAGGAGCCCAAGAAACAAUAACACAAUCAUUUUUGUGUGAACGCCUAAAGUUCGUUUAUAUUGAAUGUGAAAAGGUUGAUGAGGGAGUUCGUUCAAUCUUGAGUAUCUUAAGUACAUGCGGCAUACUUCGUGAGCAAAUUAGCAUCAAGGAGGAUCCACGUUUGGACUCAGAUUGGCAGUUCUUCCACCUCCAGUGCGUGCAACCAACUAAGCUGAGCAUACCUGGAACCCCCCAUCCCCAUGCUUUGUUCAUCUCCAAAAGCCGAGUGUUCCAGAGCAUUGGGUGCUCUCAAAUACUGUGGCCUAAACACUUGAACCACCGCCUUAGCAAAUCGCUUCACACACUUGAUGGAAGUGCUCUCUCCCAUUGCCAGCUCGUUGGGCGGCAUAGUAAAGGCGUCAGGAUGGACCCAGGGGUCGGAGGGGAGCCGGGGGAUGCAACCAACUUCGGCGGCGGCGUGCCGCCUUGUAUCGAGAGCUCGAUAUGGAGUGGCGGCUCGGCGCUGGUCACCCGGCCGAUAAUCGACCUCGCAGGCGACGACGAGCAUAUCAUCCAUCGGCGGGGCAGGAAAACGGUCGAAAUGGACGACUUCGGGCGGUGGUGUGUGGAGCUUCUGUGGCGGCUGCGGGGGUCAUGGCGGUUGUCUCCAACAGAAGGAAUGGGUGUCAGGGCUCGGCGUGGCCGAUAG